AUGUUGUUAACUAAUGCUACGAUAUCGAAAGAUAUGUCGUCGAAAUUGUCGUUGUCAUUUUCAAGAUGCAACAGGCAGCAGAAAUCAAACCAAAAUAACACAGAAGGGACGCCGCAAGAACGGAAUUCUCCAGUCACCACAUCUCUCCCAUCCUGGACCUCGGGAUUCACUCGUGAGAGAAGUACCUUCCACAAGCCUUGCGGAAAGCAUAUAUCCAGUGUUGCUGAUAGCAUUUAAAAUUAUUAAAACGGCGUAACGUA